ACCCAUCAUCAACCAUGUGGCCAGGUUUGCAGCCCAGGCUGCACAUCAGGGGACUGCCUCGCAAUACUUCAUGCUGUUGCUGCUGACUGAUGGUGCUGUGACGGAUGUGGAAGCCACACGUGAGGCUGUGGUGCGUGCCUCGAACCUGCCCAUGUCAGUGAUCAUUGUGGGUGUGGGUGGUGCUGACUUUGAGGCCAUGGAGCAGCUGGACGCUGAUGGUGGACCCCUGCAUACACGUUCUGGGCAGGCUGCUGCCCGCGACAUUGUGCAGUUUGUACCCUACCGCCGGUUCCAGAAUGUGAGUAGGUGCAAAUUUGAUCUGGGAGUUUACCCUUUCACCUUUCCCUGAUGUGAGUAGGGUUGAGGCCCAAGGGAUGCUCACCUUUUCCUCUAAGCCUGGGAUAUGGUUGGGUUCUUGAGCAUGAAAUACAGACUUUGGGCAGCUGUUCUGGGCCACCACUGACUUUUCCCUUUUCUUGGCAGGCCCCUCGGGAGGCAUUGGCACAGACCGUGCUCGCAGAAGUGCCCACACAACUGGUCUCAUACUUCAGGGCCCAGGGUUGGGCCCCGCUCAAGCCACUUCCACCCUCAGCCAAGGAUCCUGCACAGGCCCCCCAGGCCUAGGUUCCCUUGGAGGCUGUGGCAAGUCCUCAAUCCUGUGUCCCAGAGGUCCCUCUGGGCCACAACCCAACCCUUCUCACUCUCCUCAGUGCUAGCACUUUGUAUUUUUUGAUACUUUUAUACUUGUUUCUGCUUUUGCUGCUCUUGAUCCCACCUUUGCUCCUGACAACCCUCAUUCAAUAAAGACCAGUGAAGACCAA
rnacentral:lncRNA from 1 species